UACAGGGGGUGCAAACGUUGCUCGGAAUCAUUGGGCGUAAAGCGCACGUAGGCGGUUCGUUAUGUCGGAUGUGAAAGCCCUUGGCUUAACCGAGGAAGUGCAUCCGAAACUGGCGAGCUAGAGUACGAAAGAGGAUCGCGGAAUUCCCGGUGUAGAGGUGAAAUUCGUAGAUAUCGGGAGGAACACCGGUGGCGAAGGCGACCAUCUGGACGGAUACUGACGCUGAGACGCGAAAGCGUGGGUAGCAAACAGG
rnacentral:rRNA from 1 species